UUGUUUCUUAAUAAGAAAUAAUUCAUAAUUUAUAGUUCAUUACCUGUUAUUUUCUGUUUCAGCAGGAAAGAAUAGAGAGAACUGUAUGUAAUUCUGAGGAAAGUAGGCAACUGAAGGACCAUGGAUCCUCAACAAAUCUCUAAAAGUCCAAGGUUGAUUCUAAAUUGAAGAGGAUGGUGUGUUUUCAAGCAAAAAUUACAUCAGAAUACACGUAUCUCUGGACCAAAUGACAAAAGAAGAGAUUCAGUUAUGUCUUUUAUUCCUUUGGAGAAGAGAUCUUGCUGGCCCACUUCUCUUUCUUUCUGACUUGAAUGUGGAUAUAUGGUUUGCUUCUGUGGCCACAAUCAGGUGACAUGAGGCACCAACCAUUGGACCGAAAAGACAACAGCCAAAGACAGAAGAGCAGAAAAAUAGAAGGAAAAGGCCUGUGUUUUGAUGACAUCAAUGAGCAAUAGUACCAGCACCAGCAGUCACCUAUUUCCGGCCUUCUUAUGAAUGAGAUACUACAGGUCUGUAAUGCUUGAGCCAUUUCUAACUCCAGAAUAUAUUUACAGUUUCAUACUGAAGUUGAACCACACUUCUUUGAAAUUCCUAACAAGCAAAACAACUGCAUAAAAGAGAUAUUCAAUUAGUUAUUAUUUGUCAUUGGCGUUGAGGAGAAAAUUGAUCAGUUCUUUAAGAGAAGUACUGUUUCUUAUGAAACUUAGUUCUUUAAGAAAUGUUUUGGGUGGGGCAUCAUAGAAGGACACUGAGUUAUGGUGAAAAAUGUAUUCAAAUCAUAUCCCCAUAUUAAAUACAAAAUUAGUUUUCAUAUACUUGUUUCUUAUAGUACCUUUUAAUGUAAACUGCAAAUAUAAUAUCAAACCCUAACACUGUGAAAACAAUUAUAUAAGAGAUUAUUUAGGACAUGCAGUCUAAAUAGCUUUUUGUUGGGCUUUGCAGCCAUUUAAACAACAACUAAUAUUUUUUUAUUUUCUCAUCUAAAUAAUUUUGAUCCCUCUAGGUUGUCAUACAAUCAAUGGACUGCAAGACAUAGUUUCUGUGUUAUGUAAUACAAAUUUUCACAAUGGAAACAAAUCAACUCUCCUAAAGAAAUGUCUCAAAAUAUUGCUAUGAAAGAAAGAAAUUUUAGAAUCUGAAUUUAUAUGCUUCACAGUCUUCUCUGAUUCCAUUAAUUAAAUAAUUGCUUACCUCUAUUCUUUUCCUGGUGAGAAAGAAGGUCAUUCAAUUGGGUCUUAGUCUAUCAGACAAAACCAGCUGGCCCAUUGCUGAAUUAGAAAAAGAGGAAAUACUGACUCAACCCAUUUAAGCAGAGAGCAGCGUAGGCAGAGAGGGUCAGCCUUACACAUCUUUUAUUGCAAAAUAGUUCCAAAUCUCCUGAGACUGGAUGAGUGGGAGAAAACAGAUUAUACUUCUGAAAUAGAAGCUAUCUAAAAGGACAGGAAAACAGUCCUUUGCUUUACCGAAGGAUGGAGAGCCUGCCUUCCACAGAGGCCACCAUUUGAUCAUUUGGUAUCUGGUACCUUGGGGGCGUUUCCAAGCCUUAAGAAUUUGAAAUUAUUAGCACAAAACUGGAACUCAUCUUGGCCUUGGCAUUUUGUCUUGGGAACAAAAUUGGCCCUGAGAUCCAUAGUGACUCACUGAGGAAAUACUGGGGCAUGCGGCACAAUGUGAGGGCAAUAUUUGAACAACAGGCAAACAUGUAUUACAUGGGGAAGAAUUAUAAAUGAAAGGAAAAUUAAUUAAGGAGUCAAGAAACCAGAGGAAGGAUCACAGCAAGAGGCAGAUACCAUUACCCUGGAAGUGAAACGCCAGCACUUUGGAAACAAAACAUAUGUGCUAGAAUCAUCAAUGAGCUUGAGUUGAGACUUGAGAAGUAACCACACCAGUUUGCCUUCACUUCCUUCUGUGCUUUCUGCAUGCCAAAGAGUUGAAUAUAAAGUAUCCUAAUGGAUGUAAGAGCAUUUUAUAAAUUAAGAGCUCUGAAAAUAUAUGCCAUUAUCAUCAUUAAUGAGGAAAAGCAGACCACCAUGUUACUCAAAUCAUGUCUACUAGCCAAAUAGCUUGCCCAGAAGGAAGCGAUGAAGCCCAGAACAAAAUUGAAAAAAGAGAAAACAAAGACAACUCAACAGUUUUUCAGUGUCUGGUCUUGAACUGGGUUAUAGCCUGUUACCAAUAAGAAUCUCUUUUAACAUUAGGAUUGGUAGAAUUACAGUGCCCAGAAGGGAGAAUGUUUGUACUUUUCUGCACUGUUUCAGUGGGGCAGAAAGCAUCUGAGCCAUGGUCCACAGCUCCUAGGCCAGGGCUGGCAAGUAAGCAGAGUGUUCCCCUUUUCCCUCCAAUGGUCAUAGCAGACAGUGAUAAUCCAUCAUGAUGCUCUGCUAAUUUCAUCAACAGCCUUAAGAAUCUGGUCUACCCAGCUUUCUAGGAAGCUAAUAUCAACUAAUCAGAGUUGGAACACUGAGCAGCAACCUACUUGCCAUCUUGGCCCUAGCUGUUAUGAGUGCUGUUUUAGGUGUAUCCACCCGGCCUGAUGGGAGGAGUAGCUCCAAAUCUGUGGAGCAUAUGAAAAAAAGAUAUCCAUUUAAGGAAUUAUAAUUAUGAUGAUGAUAACAGACAUGAAGAGCAACAAUAAUGAUACUGGUAUCUGCCAUUCAGUGAGCCCUUACUGGGCUCUAAGAAUUGGUUGAACUGUUUCACAUGUUAUCCUUAACUCCAUUUUACAUGUGAGAAACAGAGACAGAGGAAAUUACUAACUUGUUCGUACUAAACCUAGUUCUCUUUGACCCCAGAGCUCACACUGUUAUUCCAACCAUUGAUAGAACUCAGGCACAACCAGGGGCUUUAGAACGUGGUUAUUUAUCUACAUCGACUUAAGGUUUUCUGCCAUGUGGAGAAGAAACUCUCCCCCUCUUUUUCUUGAUGAAGCUGGUGGCUGCAGCUACUUCCUGAAAAAUCAGCAUUUGCUGGAAGUUUACUGUUACCCUAGACAGUGCGGAAAGAAAUCCCAGUCAUCUCAGAUUUCAAAGUAUUUAUUUAAACUCAGCAAAGUUCACACAGUUUACACAAACAGCUUUUGCAGGAAAUGAAGAUGUCAUCUCUUUUUUACACAUACAGUUGUCCCCCACCCUACCCCUCAACCCUAGGGCAUGGCCAAUUACUACACAGGCGGAGCAUGUACAGGUCUCAGUCAAGGCAAAACAGACUUCACAUGCAGCGAGAAAACCAGUCAGACUUUCGGGAGCUACAUGAGCUAUUUUAGCAAGGGUUCUCUCGGAAAAUGGGAGUUUUAUACAGAUCCUAGAUAAUAUUCCAGUCUUGGUCACAUCCGGGACACGACUUGAGUUUGGUCUUUCUGGAAGCAUUAUUACGGAUAUGGGAACAUAGCCAGUGGGGGAAAAAGAAACCCAAGAAUUCACAGCUUUCCAAGUCUUACUGGUGGUGAAAAAAGGCAAAAUUAAGACAACCAACUUCAAAGUCAUGACACAUUGCAUUUUAUCACUAAAACCCGACAUCUUUAGUAUUUCCUGCUCUUCAAUAAACAUUACUCAGAGUGUGAUAAAAUAGGACACAGAAUAGCCGGCCACCAAAUCAUUUUCUUAUUACUUAAUCUUAGCAGGACCAGGUAAGUUUCUUCUUUUACUUUUUGUUUUCUAUAUUUAAGAUGUAUAGUAUGAUGCUUUGAUAUACAGAUAUCAAAGUCAUUAGUACAGUAAAGCAAAGGAACAUAUUCAUCACCUUAUACAGUUAUCUUUCUGUUAUUUAUUUAUUUAUUUAUUUUUUUUGAGGC